rnacentral:rRNA from 1 species
AAUCAACGCUGGCGGCGUGCCUAACACAUGCAAGUCGAACGCGAAAGGGACUUCGGUCCUGAGUAGAGUGGCGAACGGGUGAGUAACGCGUGGGUGACCUACCCUCGAGUGGGGGAUAACGUUCCGAAAGGGACGCUAAUACCGCAUGACAUUCCUGGUUUGAAGACUGGGAGAUCAAAGCCGGGGACCGCAAGGCCUGGCGCUUGAGGAGGGGCCCGCGUCUGAUUAGCUAGUUGGCGGGGGAACGGACCACCAAGGCGACGAUCAGUAGCCGGCGGGGUAGGGCGGACGGCCACACUGGGACUGAGACACGGCCCAGACUCCUACGGGAGGCAGCAGUGGGGAAUGGUUCGCAAUGGGCGCAAGCCUGACGACGCAACGCCGCGUGGAGGAUGAAGGACUUCGGAUUGUAAAACCCUGUCGUCAGGGACGAAGGUAGGGAACCUAAUACGUUUUCUGCUUGACGGUACCUGGAGAGGAAGCCCCGGCUAACUCUGUGCCAGCAGCCGCCGUAACAC